AUUGAACGCUGGCGGAAUGCUUUACACAUGCAAGUCGAACGGCAGCACGGACUUCGGUCUGGUGGCGAGUGGCGAACGGGUGAGUAAUGUAUCGGAACGUGCCCAGUCGUGGGGGAUAACGUAGUGAAAAUUACGCUAAUACCGCAUACGAUCUAUGGAUGAACGCGGGGGAUCGCAAGACCUCGCGCGAUUCGACCGGCCGAUAGCAGAUUAGGUAGUUGGUGGGGUAAAGGCCCACCAAGCCAACGAUCUGUAGCUGGUCUGAGAGGACGACCAGCCAAACUGGAACUGAGACACGGUCCAGACUCCUACGGGAGGCAGCAGUGGGGAAUUUUGGACAAUGGGCGAAAGCCUGAUCCAGCCAUUCCGAGUGCAGGAUGAAGGCCCUCGGGUUGUAAACUGCUUUUGUACAGAACGAAAAGGUUUCUACUAAUACUAGGAGCUCAUGACGGUACUGUAAGAAUAAGCACCGGCUAACUACGUGCCAGCAGCCGCCGCCG
rnacentral:rRNA from 1 species